CUCAUUCCGCAUACCGCGCGCGCUCAGGGUCACAAUACUUCCAGGCCAAAAUCAAUAAUGACAUGUAUAUAUACCGGCGGUGGCGGCAGCAGCACUGCGUUUCUUCAGCAGGGUUUAGUCAACCCGAUGCACAGCUAGGAUACAGUUCGUAGCUCGCGUGUGUUGCAUGCACCAUGAUUCGCAUGCAUUUGUACAAUACUUUCGCAUAAUCUUCCUCGAAGGGUGGCGUUACUCUGAUAAUAUGUCAGUGCCCAGUAAUUAUCGAACUUCCAUGAGAAACGAAAGCAGCAUUAAGACAUUGCAUCGCAUUUAGGUGAUUUGUCAUACAAUCUGCAUUUGCCUCUGGCGUUCAAAUAAUAGAACGCAAAAAUCGUUCUUACUCCCAAAUUUUCGAGAAAUAAUACAUUUAACAAAAUAUCCUGGCGGUUUAUUGAUCCGUGUAUAUAUAUUACGAAAAAGAGAAGAUAAAAAGAGUAAAUGCAUCAAUAGAGAUUGCGGGUGAUUAUAUGUGACGAUAGAAAGUUAUAUAACAACUGCACAAGCGGCUUGAAUUCUUAAAUCACAUAAAAUACUUAUGUACUGCUAUAUAUACUUGGCGCUAGAUCUAAUCACGUCUCUUGAUAUAUCCGCGACUGGAUACAUAUACGGAGGAUAAAUCCGUCCUAGUGACUCUAUUUGGCGUUCAAAGGUCAGAAGCCGGAAGACUGUAUUUCCUGAAAAGUAAUAUUAAUUUAUAAAUAUGAAAAACGCUUUAAAUAGAGCUUUUUCUACCGCACGAUUUGUGCAAGGAGGAAAUGCGGUGUCCGUAAGGAUGCCUCGCGUCUCUCAUGGUGACGGUAACGCGACUACAAUGCGGCUGGCACACUCGUGACGUAAAUGCAUAAGAUAUUCUAUAUGUUUUCAAAUGCUAAAUACUCUUUGGAACGAAUGAGUUUCAUUAGCAUGCUCACGUGAGCAAGUGAGCUUUAUAUGAAUAUCAGCUGACAAUCCUGCAUGGUGGAAGGAUGCUUUUCACUUGACAAACACGUGGCUGACAAGGAAAGACUUUUAUCGUUGAAAUACAUUUUUCUAAAAUUCUUUUCGUGAUAAUGGCGAUGGGAGAAGGAGCGGCGAAGGACUGGAGCGUCGCCAGGACCGGCAUUUCCCUGCUAUUAAACAACAAAACUGAAGAAGCUGAAGCUCUAUUUACCGAGCAUCCUCAUAGCUUCCACGUCAAAGCCGGCCGUUGCUUUGUACUCUUCAUGAAUGCCCUGAUGACUUUUGAAGAUGACAAGCUUCAACAAGCCAUGUUAUUGCUUAAGGAUAUGGAACGAGAAUGUGCGAGCGAUAUAGGGUGGUUAAAGUCUAUGAAAAGUAAAGUGUUUAGAGCCGAAGAGACCGGCAAGGAGUAUGUGAAUAAAUUAGAGCGCCAGAUCGUUCUAGCAGAUUCGCAAGUAUGUUCAGCCAUACUAACGCUUCUUCAGCAAGAGCUAACCGGAUAUGUGCGUGGCGGUUGGAUGCUUCGCAAAGCUUGGCGAGUUUAUCAGCACGCAUAUACGCAGAUUUCGCAAUUGUAUCGCCGCACCUUCGGCACAAAUCCGACCGGACUCAGCCCGUGCUGUGGCACUCCCACGAGCAACGGAUCCUUUCUGCAGAGCCCGCAAAGUCCGGGAUCCUCGGAAUGGUCGAUUCCUUCUUCCAACGGUUACGUGAACAACGUGACACCCAUUUCGCCGCCAUCAGGUCUGCGAAGCUCACUAUCAAUGUUCUUCUCGCUCACUGGCAUCACGUCCGAACAACAGACACCUUUCGUGGAACCUACAGAGGUGACGCGUUUAAUGUCGGCCGCGAGUUUCGGCUACGGUAUAUAUCAACUAUGCGUGAGCCUCUUGCCACCGUCCCUGCUGAAGGUGAUUCACUUCCUGGGUUUCGAGGGCGAUAGACAAGCUGGUCUCACCGCUCUUAUGUACGCGCGGCUUAGCGAAGAUAUGCGCGCACCGCUCGCCACAUUGUCUCUAUUGUGGUAUCAUACAAUUGUGCGUCCGUUUUUCGCACUCGACGGAUCCAAUGUGAAAGCGGGUGUCGCAGUAGCGAAACAGCUGAUAGCUGAAUGUCACACCGAGUUCCAUAACUCUGCUCUCUUCCUCUUUUUCGCCGGUAGAGUGGAGCGAUUGGAGUCAAACGUCAAUGGAGCGCUCGAGGCGUACGGUAAAGCUGUGGAAACCUCGACGCAGCGAGAAAUCAAAUUGCUAUGUUUACACGAGGUGGCUUGGUGCCAUCUGAUACGCUUGAGCUACGAGGAGGCUUAUCGAUCGUUACUGCAGUUGCAGCAUCAGUCCAGAUGGUCCAAGAGCUUCUACGCGUACUUAGCCAUGGUCUGUUGCGGAGCAAACGGCAAAUUCGAUGAUCUUUUAACGACUUACAACAAGAUCAUUCAUUGGUUCGACGAGAUGAAUAAUGAGACGCAACUCGGCGCUUUUAUCUUACGCAGAGUGCCGAAACUCAUCGACAAGGACACCGAGCGUCCUUACACAGUCUUAUAUUAUAGAUUGCUCGUAUACGAAUUACUAUACUUAUGGAACGCCAUGCCUUCUUGUUCCAGCGAAUCGCUGCGGGGAAUAAUGUGGGAAUGUAAGGGAAAUCAUUCUGAGGAACCGAUGGUGGGUUUGACUGCUCUUGUGGAAGGCGCUGCGUGUUCUUAUUUGGGGGACACCGAAGGGGCUAUUAAAUGUUAUCGAAAUUGUCUGAAAUGUAGGUAUCCGUCCAAGGACGAGCAUGAUCAGCACGUCAGCGCGUUUGCUCUUUACGAACUGGGAAGUAGCCUUUGUAAUAACAAUAAUUCCAGCGAAGGUAAAAACUUUUUAUUGAAGGCACAAACUCAAUACAGAGAUUACGAUUUUGAAAGUCGGCUCAAUGUGCGCAUACAUUCCGCCCUGAAAAAUUUACAGUGACGUCAAUUCGCAAACGUCCGAUAUUACAUACGAUGCAAAAUUAUCUUAGCAAUGACGAAAGAAUAUUUACAUUGCAUCGAUGCAAAGCAAUGUCGGUAUCCCAUCUUUGCGAUAAAUAUUCUGCCAGUUCGUCAUUCAAAAUGAUCAAAGCAGACUUGGGAAAUCUAAGGAUCCAUUUAGGAACUCUUUCGCUAGAGGUGAAGAAUAUAAUGGAGAUACGCGAUGAGUUAAAAAGCAAAUUGAAGGAAGUAGGCAGUGUGAUUCCAAAAAUGUCAGAAGCUAUUCUCAAUCUCAGGAAUGAAGUGUCCGAGGGUAAGAAAGGUGCGGCAUAUAAAUGCUGACCGGAUGCUACGCCUAGUGCAGUGGCAUUUCUUUGAUGUCAAAUAUAUCGAUUAAAUAGAACGGCAUAUUAUACAGCUUACUCGCAUCGGCAAUCUUUCGUUUGUGAUAAAGUGAAAGCUUUUCUCUUUGUAUCAUUCACGCGCAUCUAAUUAUUUUUAUUUUUAUCUUACUUGACAAAUAAUUGUCAGCUAUUUUUGCCAGUUUUUAACACAUUUAUUGCAAGUACAAAUUACUACAGAGAUGAGUCUGCACACGAAGAACUUGCUAAAGGCUUUGUCACCGGAAACCGUUAAAAAUAUGAUGAGAAACGAAUUGCAAACAUACGAUGCAGACAAGACUGGAAGAACAGAUUACGCUCUUGAAAGUUCAGGUUUUACAAUAUCCAACAAUCUAUUUUUAUUCAGCUUUUUCUGUACAGGAUGGAUUAAUUAAAGGGCAAUCUUAUGACCUGCUAAUAAUCUCAUGCGUAAAUGAGAUAAAAACCUGGCUCUUAAGCCUUCUUUUUUAGUCGGUAUUUAUGAAAAUAGUUUAUAGUGAGCUUUUUGAAACACAUAGCUUUUUUAACGAAUAAAUUAAAUAAAACGCGCAUCUCC
rnacentral:misc_RNA from 1 species